AAACAAAUAUGGGGCACCUCAAAGAAAAUAAGAAAUUUAGGCGGGAGAGCCCCUCCAUCGGAACGGCACCGUUUUCGAUACGAGUACUUGAGUUCAACAGUUCAUCUUCAAAUCUUCUGGUCGACCUGAAGGCGGCGUUCCAUUCCGGCGGCCUCCACCGUUUUCCGUUAACCUUUUAGCGCUCUCCGGCAGCGCACAAGUGCAAUUAUGCAUUGCGAAUAUGUCUCCUAGGACAUGCUCGCCCUCGGUUUAUGCACGCCCAAUGAUACUGCUUAGUUUCGUGAAUUCCUGAGCUUUCAUCCACAGGGCAUGGAGGUAAGACUACCAGCUUUGCCCUAGCGAUUUUGUGUUGAUUCUGUCAUGGAACUAUGCAUACAUACAAUCUACAUUCUAAAACUUAAUCUGUAAUGAUUAUCAGAAAGCAAAUUAUCUGCUAAUGUGCGCUUCUGAUUAAUUAAAUUGGUUGCAUCCAGCUUCUUGUUUGAAUAAUAUCGAUUAAAAGUUACACU